UGUGUCACUAAUAAAUAAUCCAUUAAACUGAUCUAUUCAGAUAAAUAUAACAUUAAUUCAUCACUGAUAUAUGGCAGGCUUAAAAUGGGUACGUCAGACGUGCAUUCCGUCUACGAAAGCAUACAAAUGACGCUCGAAUAAAAAGAAAAAUUUAAAACGCAAAAUAAAGUACAAAGACGAAGACCAUUGAUAAGAGAGCGAUACGCAAAUAAUCUAGAAAAAAAACUACAACUAAAUAGAUUUUUCUGUUUAUUUGUUUGAUGUACUGUGUUUGUUGUGUUAUAACUUUAACGAAACAUGUGUAAUGCUUCAUAUGUUUAUUUCGACAAUUAAUGUAUUUUUACUGAUGCUCGGAUCAAAGGUUUUGAAAAUCCAUAUAUAUACAAACGAUGAUCAAAUUAGAAGGGACCGAAGGUUCAGCUAAAUAUAAACAUAAGUAAGAGCUUUGUAUUUAAUCUUAUAUGAACUCCAAUUGAACAAGACCUGAUUUCUGAGUUAUCUUUUGACUUGUCUGUUCAUCGCUAAAUUGACUUGACAUAAGGACCGCUUUACGUAUUGCUUGUCUGCUUUAAUUAUGAAUUUGUGUCUGUCUUUUUUUACUCAUAAGACGCAUCAUUGACGCUCAAAUCAAAAUAGUUAAAAAGCCAAACAAAGUACAAAGUUGAAGAGCAUUGACCCAAAAUGCCAAAAAGUUGUGUCAAAUACGGCUAAGGUUAUUUAGGUCCGGGAUAAAAAAAAAUCAUGAGUAUUUCGAAUUAUCCAUACUUUUGCAAACAGUAAAUUAAAAAAAAAAUCACAAUAUAAUUGAUAUUCAUCUCAACACCGAAGUGCUGACUACUAGGCUGGUUAUACCCACGGACACAAAAAUCAACCAGGGGUGGCAUCGACCGAGUGGUGUAAAUAUAUAUCAAAGUAAACAGGCUUAUAACGUUAUACGUCAGACGCCCGAUCGUCUACAUCAGACUCAUCAGUGACGCUCAGAUCAAAAUAGUUAGAAAGCCAAACAAAGUACAAAGUUGACGAGCAUUGAUGACCAAAAAAAAUCUCAACUGUUGUGUCAAAUACGGCUAAAUUUAGUAUCUUUGGCAUCAUGUUUACCUGUGUGUUUUGUUUUUUGGUUUUUUUUUUAACGAUAACAAAUAUUCUAUUCAAUCAUUUCCUGAUAUAUAAAUACCUAAGUAGCCCAGGUCGCAUACUUAGGGGCCCCUGUAUUUUAACAGCCUCACUUGACCAGGGAAAAUAUCAGAUGAGUUUAUACAAUAGUUUUACAUACAUAAUUAUAUUUAAAUAACCAAUACAAUUGAUUUUCACACCUGAUAAGAUCACUGUAUAAAAUCACUAUCGUAUAUCCGGUUCACUGAACACACAUGUGUUGAUUUAAACAGGAAAUACUUUAAAAUUUGAUUGCGAAAAUA
rnacentral:lncRNA from 1 species